AGAGUAAGAAGGAGGAGCAAUGGGAGAUGCCAAGAUGUUAGGUGCUCAACUUUCCCUCUGGAAUGUUUUUGCAAUUGGAGGCUGAAAGCUCAGCUGUGAUGGGACUCUGACACCAACCAGCUGGCUGUUGCCUGCCCUCAGUAGUCAGAUGGCUGGAAUUCUGAAAUGGAAUAAUAUCACUGACACAGGAACAAUCAAUGCAUUGUGUUAUGGAAAAUGAAAA